AUUGAAAGCUGGCGGCAGGCUUAACACAUGCAAGUCGAGCGGAGUGAUGGUGCUUGCACUAUCACUUAGCGGCGGACGGGCGAGUAAUGCUUAGUAAUCUGCCAUUUAGUGGGGGACAACAUUUCGAUAGGAAUGCUAAUACCGCAUACGUCCUACGGGAGAAAGCAGGGGAUCUUCGUACCUUGCGCUAAACGAUGAGCCUAAGACGGAUUAGCUAGUUGGUGGGGUAAAGGCCUACCAAGGCGACGAGCUGUAGCGUGUCUGAGUGGAUGAUCCGCCACACUGGGAGUGAGACACGGCCCAGACUCCUACGGGAGGCAGCAGUGGGGAAUAUUGGACAAUGGGCGGAAGCCUGAUCCAGCCAUGCCGCGUGUGUGAAGAAGGCCUUUUGGUUGUAAAGCACUUUAAGCGAGGAGGAGGCUCUUCUAGUUAAUACCUAGGAUGAGUGGACGUUACUCGCAGAAUAAGCGCCGGCUAACUCUGUGCCAGCAGCCGCGGUAAAAC
rnacentral:rRNA from 1 species